rnacentral:siRNA from 1 species
UCCGAAUUAGGGUCUGAAUUUAGC